AUUUUGGAAUAUAUUGAUUGGUUUGUGUUUUUCAGUAGGGUCCAAAGGUUGCCUCCCUCAGGAGGGAGAGGCAGAAUAUUAUCAGAUGCUCAGAGUUGCCAUUGUUGACAUGGUAAUUGAAAACAACGCAAUAAAACUGCAGGAAAUUCAGGACAGAGUGCUGGCAGACAAUAUCACUUUUGGGAAUGUGAAUACAGUCAGCACAAUGACAAUUGCCAGAGUCCUAGAGAAACAUAAAAUAAGGAUGAAGCAGUUGUACAUUGUACCGUUUCAGAGAAACGUUGAACGUGUGAAAGAACUCCGGUAUCAAUAUGUCCAGAGAGCAAUGGAGAUGGAAGCCAGGCAAACUGCACAUACAUUCAUCUUUGUGGAUGAAGCUGGACUCAACCUGGCAAAAACACGCCGUAGGGGAAGAAAUGUGAUUGAGAGCAACUGUGGAUGUCCCAGGCCAGAGAAGAGCUAACAUCACAAUGUGUGCAGCACUGUCCAAUGAUGGUUUACUGUUACACAAACCACUCAUUGGCCCCUACAAUACAGAGAGGCUCAUUUCUUUUCUGGAUGACCUGCAUAAUCGACUUGUGCCAGCGGAGGAGAGGCGGGCAAGAAACUCCCCUACCUUCGUUGUUGUGUGGGAUAAUGUGGCAUUCCACCACUCUGCUGCAGUCAGACUGGUUUGCUGCACAUCCCAGGAUGUCAGUAGUAUUCCUGCCUCCAUACUUCCCCUUCCUAAACCCCAUAGAGGAGUUUUUCUCUGCGUGGAGGUGGAAGGUGACCACCAUCCACAUGACCAGAUGUCCUUACUGGAUGCGGGGUGAGGAGACACUUCUCCUGAAGAUACUUUCCAAGAUGCAUCGCCAGAGAAGACAUGAUGUGAUGUUGAUGAGAACUUGUGGUUAAAUGCAGGAGAGAGGGAGAACUAGAACCCUCACAGUACUGUACAAUAUGAGUUAUUAUACUAUACAUGUUGUUGAUGGGUUUUUUUUGUAAUUAUUAUUGCAGCCCUGGAAUUUCAGGAUUUUUUGGGUUUCAACUUUGUAUUUUUCACAAGUAAAUUACUAUGUGCAAAGAUAUAGAAAAAAAUAAAGCCUAUUGAAGCAAA